GACGAACGCUGGCGGCGUGCUUAACACAUGCAAGUCGAACGGAAAGGCCCUGCUUUUGUGGGGUGCUCGAGUGGCGAACGGGUGAGUAACACGUGAGUAACCUGCCCUUGACUUUGGGAUAACUUCAGGAAACUGGGGCUAAUACCGGAUAGGAGCUCCUGCUGCAUGGUGGGGGUUGGAAAGUUUCGGCUGUUGGGGAUGGACUCGCGGCUUAUCAGCUUGUUGGUGGGGUAGUGGCUUACCAAGGCUUUGACGGGUAGCCGGACUGAGAGGGUGACCGGCCACAUUGGGACUGAGAUACGGCCCAGAAUACUACGGGAGGCAGCAGUGGGGAAUAUUGCACAAUGGGCGGAAGCCUGAUGCAGCAACGCCGCGUGCGGGAUGACGGCCCGCGGGUUGUAAACCGCUUUCGCCUGUGACGAAGCGUGAGUGACGGUAAUGGGUAAAGAAGCACCGGCUAACUACGUG
rnacentral:rRNA from 1 species